GAUGAACGCUGGCGGCGUGCCUAACACAUGCAAGUCGAGCGAACAGACGAGGCGCUUUCUUCUCUUACGUUACCGGCGAAUGAGUCAUUAACACGUGGCUAACCUAUCUAUGAGACUCGGGUAACUUCGGGACACCUAAGCUAAUACCCGACACUCUAUUGAACCUGAUGGUUCAAGCGUUUACGACGUUUUUUGUGCCCCUGAUCUAUCAAUCCGCGCCGGAUUUGCUAGUUUGUAAGGUAACGGCAUACCAAGGCAACGAUGGGUAGACGACCUGAAAGGGUGAUCGGCGACACUGGAAGUGAGACAGGGUCGCGACUCCUACGGGAGGCAGCAGUAGGGAAUCGGCGGCAAUGGGGGAAAGUAUGACGGAGCAACGCCGAGUGAGUGAUGAAGGUCUUCGGAUCGGAAAACUCUGCUAUUAGGGAUGAACAAAUGUGUAAGUAACUAUGCAGUUAUUGACGGUACCUAAAGAGAAAGCCACGGCUAACUACGUG
rnacentral:rRNA from 1 species